rnacentral:tRNA from 1 species
GGGAUUGUGGCUCAGAGGUAGAGUGCUUGCUUAGCGUGCAUGAGGCACUGGGUUCGAUCCUCAGCACCA